AUGGAGAAAGUUGGACGGAGCAACGCCGCGUGAGUGAUGAAGGUUUUCGGAUCGUAAAGCUCUGUUGUUAGGGAAGAACAAGUACCGUUCGAAUAGGGCGGUACCUUGACGGUACCUAACCAGAAAGCCACGGCUAACUACGUGCCAGCAGCCGCGGUAAUACGUAGGUGGCAAGCGUUGUCCGGAAUUAUUGGGCGUAAAGGGCUCGCAGGCGGUUUCUUAAGUCUGAUGUGAAAGCCCCCGGUUCAACCGGGGAGGGUCAUUGGAAACUGGGGAACUUGAGUGCAGAAGAGGAGAGUGGAAUUCCACGUGUAGCGGUGAAAUGCGUAGAGAUGUGGAGGAACACCAGUGGCGAAGGCGACUCUCUGGUCUGUAACUGACGCUGAGGAGCGAAAGCGUGGGGAGCGAACAGGAUUAGAUACCCUGGUAGUCCACGCCGUAAACGAUGAGUGCUAAGUGUUAGGGGGUUUCCGCCCCUUAGUGCUGCAGCUAACGCAUUAAGCACUCCGCCUGGGGAGUACGGUCGCAAGACUGAAACUCAAAGGAAUUGACGGGGCCC
rnacentral:rRNA from 1 species